AUAACCCUGGGGUGAUUGGUAUGCGGGUUAUGUCCCUGAGCCGAUAAUCACACUUUAUAGGCUUUCAUUCCUGUUGCCAUUGUGCAAGCUCAGCUCGUACUGAGAAGCCUGACGCAGCAGCUUGAAUAGCCAACCUGAACCUUCUGGUUCAGGACUAAACCUUGUAGCCGCACCCUGGGGCCCUU
rfam:Moritella viscosa genome assembly, chromosome: 1